rnacentral:rRNA from 1 species
CCUACGGGUGGCUGCAGUGAGGAAUAUUGGUCAAUGGGCGGAAGCCUGAACCAGCCAAGCAGCGUGAAGGAAGAAGGCGCCAGGCGUCGUAAACUUCUUUUAUACGGGAACAACGCGCGCCACGCGUAGGGCUUUGCGUGUACCCGAUGAAUAAGCACCGGCUAACUCCGUGCCAGCAGCCGCGGUAAUACGGAGGGUGCGAGCGUUAUCCGGAUUUAUUGGGUUUAAAGGGUGCGUAGGCGGUUGGGAAAGUGUGCGGUAAAAUGCCGGGGCUCAACCCCGCCGUGUAGUGGAAACUGGCGGACUAGAGACGGCGGGAAGCACGCGGAAUGCGUGGUGUAGCGGUGAAAUGCAUAGAUAUGGCGCAGAACUCCGAUUGCGAAGGCAGCGUACUGCAGCCGGACUGACGCUGAGGCACGAAAGCGUGGGUAUCGAACAGGAUUAGAUACCCGGGUAGUC